CAGAUGCAGACCAGGUGCGAAGGCAGCUGGGACUAGGCAUUCAAGAAGGCAAGGAGUCCAGAAGAGGCUGCCAAUACAGACUGAUUCCACCCUGACCUCAGCCCUGCUAAAUCCUGGCAACUUACCUGGGAGAUGCUACUUCCCGACUGUGUGUCCUUGAACAAGUCAUUCGAUCUCUCUCAUCUUCCGUUUUCUCAUCUGCAAAGAGUCGGCAAUGACUCAUUGGGUCAUUGUGAGAUGUGGCCGUGGUAAGGAAUUCAAA
rnacentral:lncRNA from 1 species